rnacentral:rRNA from 1 species
UACGGAGGAUGCGAGCGUUAUCCGGAUUUAUUGGGUUUAAAGGGUGCGUAGGCGGGAUGCCAAGUCAGCGGUAAAAAUGCGGUGCUCAACGCCGUCGAGCCGUUGAAACUGGCGUUCUUGAGUGGGCGAGAAGUAUGCGGGAUGCGUGGUGUAGCGGUGAAAUGCAUAGAUAUCACGCAGAACUCCGAUUGCGAAGGCAGCAUACCGGCGCCCUACUGACGCUGAGGCACGAAAGCGUGGGUAUCGAACAGG